GCGGUCGUGGUGAAGUGGUUAACACAGCGGGUUGUGGUCCCGUCAUGCGUGGGUUCAAAUCCCAUCGGUCGCCCCA
rnacentral:tRNA from 8 species